CUUGCACAGGUGCUGCAUGGCUGUCGUCAGCUCGUGUCGUGAGAUGUUCGGUUAAGUCCGCUAACGAGCGCAACCCUCGCUGUGUGUUAUAUGUGUCACACGGGACUGCCGGUCUUAAGCCGGAGGAAGGUGGGGAUGAUGUCAAGUCAGCAUGGCCUUUAUAUCCUGGGCUACACACACGCUACAAUGGCCAACACAAUAGGUUGCCAAGCCGCGAGGUGGCGCCAAUCCAUAAAGUUGGUCUCAGUUCAGAUUGUAGGCUGCAACCCGCCUGCAUGAAGAUGGAGUUGCUAGUAACCGCAGGUCAGCUAUACUGCGGUGAAUACGUUCCCGGGGCUU
rnacentral:rRNA from 1 species